AGGCCCUUGUGUCAGGGUCUGCAUGUCUCUUUCAAGCAUUUGAACCAUUUAACCUAUCAAUUUGGCUUCACUUAAUUUGUCUCUACUAAGUGUAUGAUGGAAGUACUAUGGUAAAGAAACAUUUUUAGGGGAUUUCAAUAUUUGAAAAUUAUGAAUUGCUGUGUUUUUAUUUUAUUUGCUGUGACAACCUAUCAAUCAAAAUGUUUAUUGAGGGACUUCCCUGGUGGCGCAAUGGUUAGGAAUCCACCUGCCAAUGCAGGGGACACGGGUUUGAGCCCUGGUCCAGGAAGAUCCCACAUGCCGCGGAGCAACUAAGCCCGUGCACCACAACUACUGAGCCUGCGCUCUAAAGCCCACGAGCCACAACUACUGAAGCCUGUAUGCCUACAGCCCGUGCUCCACCACAAGAGAAGCCACCGCAGUGAGAAGCCCGCGCACCGCAACAAAGAGUAGCCCCCACUCGCCACAACUAGAGAAAGCCCGCGCGCAGCAACGAAGACCCAACACAGCCAAAAAUAAAACUAAUUAAUUAAAAUAAAUAAAUAAUGUUUAUUGAGUGCCAUAUGCUGUUGUGAAAUCUACAUCAUACUGUGGAAUGGCAAUGAUCACUUAGCUAUCAUUAGAUUCUUUUUUUCUGUGAUGUAUGCAAAGCCCCACCCCUGCUUCGAGUUUAGAGCAGUGUUGAGCACACUGUAAGCAAUUUUGAUAGGGGAGUGUCUUACAGUAUGGAGAAAUAAUCUUACUUUACAGAGAUUAAUACGAGAAGCUGAAUUUCCAAUUCAGGAUAGUGAAUAAACAUGGAAUUGGCACAAAGGGAAAUAGUUUCAAAUAGAAGACUUCAAAUGUGGUGAAGUAGAAGAGCUGUUACCUGAAGAAGGUCAGAUGAUUGUCUGUCAAGUAGCCUCACAAGCCCACGUGCAGUGAUCUCCGUUCCCAUCCUGAUUGAUCUGUGUAUCUUCAUCCACCAGUUUAAGAGAGGUAUGAAUGUAGGGUGGUUUUGUCAAUUUCUCUUGUAAUACUGUAAAUUUUGUUUUACACAUUUUGUGGCUGUUAAGUACAUACAAACUUAAAAUUAUUAUAUUUUGUAGGCAAAAAUUUCACUUAACCAUUAUAUAGUAUCUAUCUCUAAAAAUUCCUUUUUUCUUAAAGCCUAUUUUGUUUGCUAUUAACCUAGCUACAACAACCUUCUUUGGAUUAAUAUUUACUUGGUAUAUCUUUUUCAUCAUAUUGGUUUAAAUAUUCAUGUCUUUAAAUUAUGUCUGUUGGAAUCAGCAUAUAAUUGGAUUUGGUCUUUUUGUCUAAUUUGACAAUCGCAGUCUUUUAACAGGUUAAACUGUAUACAUUCCAUCUGAUUGUUGGCAUAUUUGCAUUUAUUUCUACAUAUUAUUUUAUGCCUUUUAUUUACCAUUCAUUUUUCUUUCCUUUUCUUCCUUUCCUCCCACCCCCUUUCCUUUCCUGCCUUUUUCACUUGACUGAACUUUUUCCCCAAUUCUCCACCAAAUCUGGUUUGGAAGUGAUGCCUUCUAUAUACAUAAUACUGUAUAUGCAUAUAUAUACUUGUGUGUGUGCGCAUAUGUGUGUAGGCAUAUAAAUGCAUGUGUGUGUAUGUAUAUAAAAUCCUUGAAAAGCCUACUUUUACUUAAAGUUAUCAUCAUGUAGCCUUUUAGUUCCAUCUUGAUUUUUAGUCUUAAUCUACAAAGUAUUUUUAAGAUUUACACACGUUUACCAUUUCCUGGCAUAAAACUAUCUCUUGCAUCUUAUUUUUUCCUUCUGAGUUCAAUCACUUCUUUCUGAAGUACACAUUUUAGAAGUUUUUCAAUGAGACUGCUAAUAGUAAAGGCUUUGAUUCUUUGUGUGUCUGGAAAUGUCUAUUUCAUCCUUACUAUUGAAUAAAAAUUUGGUUGGGAAUAGAAUCCUGAAUUAUCUGGUAUUUUUUCUCAGCAUGUUGAAAUUAUAUUCCAUUAUCAGUUCAUUUCUUCUGUUAAGAAGUCUGAUAAAAGUCUAUUUAUCAUUCCCCUAUCAGGUUUUUUUUUUUUUUUUUUUUUCCGUUACGCGGGCCUCACACUGUUGUGGCCUCUCCCGCUGCGGAGCACAGGCUCCGGACGCACAGGCUCAGCGGCCAUGGCUCACGGGCCCAGCCGCUCCGCGGCAUGUGGGAUCCUCCCGGACCGGGGCACGAACCCGUGUCCCCUGCAUCGGCAGGCGGACUCUCAACCACUGCGCCACGAGGGAAGCCCCCCCAUCAGGUUUUUAAUAUCUGCUUGCUUUUAUGAUUUCCCUUUAUCUAGAAUUAAUUUAUAUUUAUUUACUCAGUUCAACACUCACCAUGCUUUCUGAAUGUGAGAAUUUAUAACAUUUAUCCAUUCUGGAAAAGCCUUAGCCACUAUGUCUUCAAAUUUUACCCCUCCCUCAUUCUCUCUUAUAUUUCUGCAAAUCCUAGGAUGAGUUUUUGCAUUCUAUAUUCUGUGUCUCUUAAACUCUCAUAUUUUUAAAUCUUUUUCUCUCCGUUGAAUUCUGAGUAGUUUUUUAUAGUCUUGUUAUUUUAAUGUUUUAAAUUAUUUAUUUUAUGUCUGUAAUCAAUUUAAAUCUAUUUAUUUAAUAGUAUCUUAGAGUGUUCCAUUAUUUUAAUUUUGCUGUUUAAUUCUGUUGCUUGUUGUGUUUGCUGACUCCCAAAGGUGAUAGAUUCCUUAAAUAUUUUGUGAUUGUGAAUUGUGUGAAAUCAUUUUCAGUAGGGCUCUAUCUAUGUGAAUUUUAUGUAUCUUGAGUUGAGGGUGUAUUUCUCCAUAGAGUUUAUAUUUCCCCUGCCAGAGAGUCCAGGGAUUUAAAGGCUUGGGGGCAAUUUGUAUGUUAAUUUUACGGUUUGGGGUUCUGAUAGUAUACAAACCCCAAUUUCUAGUUAUGUGUGAUGUAGACUAAUGGUUAUUAAUAUAUGGGAUAGACCUUCACCCCCAGUUGAGCUAAACAGGUUAUCUGCUGGUUAGUGGAGUUUUUAGUCCACCCAGAUUUUCCAGCUAGUUUUAUUAUCUUUUUUUUCUCCUUUAAUCCAAACUCCCACACUGACUGUUUCUGCCUGGAGGCAGAGACCCUUAUUCACAUUGCCAGCCCAAGAACAAUGAUGGGUCUGGAUGGCCCAUUGCAGUAUCCCAAUUGGUCAAUCACCGUGUAUCAAUAGCUUGACCCUUCUUCCAAUACUUCCAAACAUGAGGAUGCUGUUUAAUUCCAGAGUAGUAGCCUCCUGGCCAUGUUCUAGCCUGUGGCUCCCUUCUCCCAUUCAAUGAUCACACAACACCUAAGAUUAGUGUCUGACUGAAUAAAUGGGGACUGUAGCCUGGCCAAGUUGACACAUAAAACUGAACAUCACAACUAUUUCCACGGGAGAGCUUGUAGGACAUUACAUUACCAAAGCAAUUCAGUAUACACUGGUAAGCAGGCAGUAGCAUCACUGGGAAACUUAGUGAUGUCUCUCUUCUAAAGGGGAGGCUUAAUGAGAGGAGAUGGCUUCACAGAACUGGAUUCUCUGAGAGCAAUGAAGAUGACAGGAUCUAAAAUAAUAGAGUUUAAGUGGUGAUGCUGAACAAAUCAAAAGCAGGGUGGUUGCAAGUAUAGAAGAGUGGCAAGAUCAGGGUGGCGUCCAAGGGCCUGCACCCACAAAGAGCAAUGGAGAUGGUUAAUACAACAGGGCAUUCCAGGGCCAAUAUCAAUGGAAAGUCAACAAAGAUAUGCUUAAUUUACAGAAAAGAAAUUAAAGGUGAAUAAUUAUGAGGCUGAGGGGAACCACUCCAAUAAAAAUUACAAUCCCUUUGCCAGUUUCCAGACCUGAGCCAGUUUUUUGACUUCUAACCCACUGCCUAUAUGGGAGGACAGGUCUCCAGGAGGAAGCACCCUGCAACAAGAUGGCAAGACUACGUAGAGUGAUUCCUCCUCAUUCUUCCCCAAUAGUCACGUCCUACUUAGGAAACCAUACACUGAGGCAAGGGAAUGCCCAAACCUCCCAAGGGCUGUUUUAUACAGGAUCCACGUUGACCUUGAUAUCUAGGGAUUUGAAGUCAUCAUGACUCUCCUGUGAGAACAGGGGCACAUAGUAAUCAGGUAAUAUAUGUGCUGGCUCAAAUCUGACCCGCAGUGAGUCCAGUGGUUCCAUGGACCAACUAAUGAUCAUUUUACUGGUCCCCAAAUGUGUGAUGUGCAUGGCCAUGCUUGGUAGUUCCUUGGUCUAUGGGGUAAAAUCUAUUAUAGUGCAGAAGGACAAGUGGAAAGCUCUGAACUUACCACCUUUUCCGCCUCAGCCACAAUAUAGCAUCCCAGGAAAAAUGGCAGAAACUGAUCUGACCCUGAAAACGUAAUGGAUGCAGGCGGGUGGUCUUCGUUCUACCUCCAUUCAUUUCACCGGUCUGGCCCUUACGAUAACUAGAUGGGUCCUGCAGGAUAACAGUUGAUGUCCACAAACCAAACCAUGUAGUAGCCCAAAUUGCAGCUGCUGUGUCAGAUGUGGUACCUUUGCUAGAGCAAAUUAACACUCCCUCAAAUAUGUGGUACAUGGCCAUUGAUUUGGUAAAUGUGUUCUUUUCCUUCCUUAUCAGAAAGAAGAAUUAGAAACAGUUCACACUUUGAAUGAACAGUAUAGUACAGUGGUGCCCGAAGGCUGUGUUGACCUCUCACCCUCUGUUAUAAUACAACUCAAAGAGGCUUGGACCAUCUAGACAUCCUUCAGAACAUCACACUGAUUCACUCCACUGCUGACAUCAGCUAAUUGGACUUGAUGGUCAAUAAGUGGCAAGUAUGUUGAAAAUCGUGACGAGAAAAAUUUCCUUCAAAAGAUGGGAGAUAAACACUACAGUGAUUCAGGGGCUGGCCUUGUCAGAGACAUUUGGAGGAGUCCAGUGGUCUGGUGCAUGCUGAAACAGCUUAAUAGUUGUACCAAAUUCAAAACAAAGGACAAAUUAUUGCAUCUCACAGCUCCCAUCACAAAGAAGGAAGCCUAAUACCAAGUAGUCCUGAUUGGGUUUGGAGGGAUCGUAUUUCACGUCUGGCAAUGCUGCUCCUGUCUGUAUAUUAGGUGACCCCCAAAUACCUCCAGUUUUGAGUGGGAUCUGCAGUAGGUCCAGGCUGCAGAACAAGUGGGCCUUGCCAUUUGGACCACAUGCUCCAGAAGACCCUGUAAUAUUGGAGGAAGCUGUGGUGGGAAUUGCCCUUGACUGAAGAGAGCCCUUGCCCUGACUGAAGAUGCCUGGCUCCCUUGCAUCAACUCAAGACAAUUCUGAAGAGCCACCCUAGUUUCAAAGCUUCCCCUAGAGUCAGCUGAGGCCUUAGAUGACACUGAAUGGAAGCACUCCUUUGUCCUCUGCCUAGUCCUGUUUCCUUUUUUCCCUCCACAGAUGUUGAUCCUGAGAGCACUCCCUAAUAACUCCCUACAUGCUAACCUCCAUUUCAGAGUCAGCUUCUCGGGGAAACUUGAAGCAGGAGUAGAUGCUAGCUGCUGCCUAGAAGAACCAGAUCUGCCACUGUCCUUGCCAGAAGAUCUGAUAUCUGUGUGUAUGGCCACCACCUCACACUGCUUACUUCUACAUCCAAAUCUCAGUCUUUAGGUUCCUUCCUGAACACUGUAUCAAGACAUUUCUGGCAUCUCAACCUCAUUUCAUGUACACCACCUCUGAGUCCAGGUUUCAGAAAAGCAAGUGAACAAACAAGGCCGCCACCUCAUUAAGCCAAAAUCACUGGUAAGUGCAGCCAUGUUGAUUAAUUCAACCUGACCUGUAAUUAUUUUCCUCCCUCUCUGAUCUAGAAACCUUAGAUGCCAUUCCCCCAUAUACUAUCUAUGUUCUUGACGAUCUAAAUUAGGAAACUAUUACAAUCGUGUUUGUCUUUUCUUCUUAAGCUUCAUAAACUCAGGAAUGCUGGAAUAUGACUGUAGUUCCUUGUCUGGAGGCAAUGAAUGGUGGAAAGGGAAGAGGAUAAGGAGAAUUAGCAUCUACUGCAAGUUAUUUACCUGUGGUGAGAUUAUUACAGACUCUUAAAGAAAGAUAGUCACAACUUCAACAUAUAGGAGAGCCCAGGCUGCUGCUGGGGUAGCUCAGCGGGACUUGGCACUUGAGAUGCUCAUUGUAGUGAAAUCCUCCCAAACAUCCCCUUUCCAGUUACGGGUGGAGGCGGCAGGGUACCAAGCAAUCGAAAAUUUCACAUCCGGGAACUAAUAUGAAUGUAAAUUCACUUAUGUCAUAAUUCAGAGACUCAUAAGAUCAGACUCUACCUCUCAUUUUUGGUUAUGUUGCACGAAAAGAUGUGGCUGUCAAGAGAUCAAAUGUCUUCAGGGCAAUUGCAGUAACUUCUUGGUCUCUGACCAUGCCUGCAGCCAAGGACUUAAAACCUUGAUGUUCUCUUUUUCUUUCUUUAAGCACUCCAGUACAAUUAGAAUUAGUCAAUCUACCACAUAGACUUUCUUUUUUUUGGCCAUGCAGUGUGGCAUGUGGAAUCUUAGUUCCCCUAAGGAUCGAACCCGUGCCCCCUGCAGUGGAAGCAUGGAGUCUUAACCACUGGAUCACCGGGGAAGCCCGGGACUUUAUAUUUCCUAUGUCCCUCUAUUCUGUUCUAUUUUAGCAGCAUUCUAGUGCAUCCGGUGACUACAUGUAAAUGUUUAGGCAACUUUCACUACUGAGCCCCAUCCUCUGAUCAUAAUCAGAUCCCGUGUCUUCAAAUCCAACCAAGUCAGACAACCAAUCUCAGAUUUCUACUCCCCUCGCCUGGAAAGCCACCUCUGUUACCAAUUACUUUAUCCAUCAGAAUUCACUCUAAUCAGUUUAAGAAGAUACUAGGUAGUUUAAAGAAUCUUCAGGAGGGCCAGAGAACCAGGCUUGGAUGAUUGCUACAUAGAGAGGAACACAGCAGCCUUGAGAAAUGCGUAAGUCCUACAUAGACAUGUUUUGAAGAAAACACUCCUGGUAUUACCUUCUGUCAUUUGGAACCUGUAACCAUAGGAACUGUACUCCAGAAACUCUACCACAGCUGCCCUGGAAGAAUUGGAUGUUUCUGCUUUCCAGAAGAUCUGAUCUCCCCCUUCAUGUCCACCGCUCACAUUGUUCACUUCCACCCUUGAGUUCUGAGUGGUCAUGUCUGCUUGGCAGAAGCUAGAUCUCGUGAGGACACCUGAGCUGCAAGGGAGUCUGGGAAAUGUGGAGUUCAGCUUCUGGACUCUAUAGUACAAGAAGUCAAGCUACAAGGAUGUUAUAUAAACGCUUACGUGCUCAACUUAUUGUUCAUACUUGUUAAAGCAGCUGUCAAACCUCUGACCCUUUUCUCCAUUUGAUUAAACUCAGCAGAUAGUAUAGGCAGGGCAGGUGAGAGUCAAGGUGGCUGAACUAGCUGUGGGUCAUUUCUUCUUAAAUAUUAGGAAUCUUAAAGGAAGAGUGGAGCUAUCAACAAGGCACUAGAAUUAAGAUAUAAAAUAGAAAGCAGAUAUAUCAAGCAUUACAGCAAGGAAGGAAAAGAAGUCAAUGUUUACAAAACAAAGAACGAAUGGCAUUUUUUCCCAAUCUUCUAAGGUAUGACAAUGGUACAACCAAGAAUAACAAAGAAUGGGAACUAGAAAAAAAUGAAUGAGUUUCUUUUAAUUUUCAUUCAUAUAUAAAUCCUCUGUUCUUAGAUUUUUUUUUUUUUUUUUUUUUUUUUUUUUUGCGGUACGCGGGCCUCUCACUGUUGUGGCCUCUCCCGUUGCGGAGCACAGGCUCCGGACGCGCAGGCUCAGCGGCCAUGGCUCACGGGUCCAGCUGCUCUGUGGCAUGUGGGAUCUUCCCGGACCGGGGCACGAACCCGUGUCCCCCGCAUCGGCAGCGGAGU